CCCCAGUAUGCGCGAGAAGCCUCCAAAACCUCAACAGAAAGCGCAGCACCGGCAAUGGCCCCUAUACCAGCCCCACGAAGGACACCACUAUCAGAAGCCCGGCCAGCUAAAGCACCAGAAAUAGCUCCGGUGAAAGCUCCAGCCAGAGCAAAAACUCCCGUGAGAGCUCCAGAGAUAGCGCCAGCGACCAAUCUGGGAACGAAAUCGAGAAACCGACUCCCUUCAAAUUCCACAACUCUUUCCAUUAUAGGACCACUGCAUAUGUGGAUCGAUCCGACCGGGAUUGAAAUUCAAUACAGGAGGAAAAUACCAAUAAUUCACCUUAAUGUUUAGGGCAAAAAGGUCGAGGACGUUUGGAGGUGGGAUUACUUACUAGGAUAAGGAGAAAAUUGGAGGGCAAAGAGAGAUUUUUGAGAUUCUCUAUUUGAACUAAAAAGCCAAAAAUAAGAAGUGAGAGCAGA
rnacentral:misc_RNA from 1 species